rnacentral:rRNA from 1 species
UAACACAUGCAAGUCGAACGGAGCUAUGUUGAAAGCUUGCUGGAUAUAUAGCUUAGUGGCGGACGGGUGAGUAACACGUGAGCAACCUGCCUUUCAGAGUGGAAUAACGUUUGGAAACGAACGCUAAUACCGCAUAAUGUCAGAGGACGGCAUCGUUCUUUGACCAAAGAUUUAUCGCUGAAAGAUGGGCUCGCGGCCGAUUAGGUAGUUGGUGAGAUAAUAGCCCACCAAGCCGACGAUCGGUAGCCGGACUGAGAGGUUGAACGGCCACAUUGGGACUGAGACACGGCCCAGACUCCUACGGGAGGCAGCAGUGGGGGAUAUUGCACAAUGGGGGAAACCCUGAUGCAGCGACGCCGCGUGAGGAAGAAGGUCUUCGGAUUGUAAACUCCUGUUGUUGGGGAAGAUAAUGACGGUACCUAACAAGGAAGUGACGGCUAACUACGUGCCAGCAGCCGCGGUAAAACGUAGGUCACAAGCGUUGUCCGGAAUUACUGGAAUCGUCCACUGCCGUCCUU